rnacentral:rRNA from 1 species
GAUUUCUGGUACGAUUGGCCUGACCCGCUUCGAAAGGAGUGAGUGUCGGUGCUGGUCUGCCAUCUUUGUAGGUUUCUAUGCUUCGGUAUGGAAUUCCUACAUCUUUUACUUUGAAAAAAUUAGAGUGUUUAAAGCAGGCUUUUGCUAUGAAUACAUUAGCAUGGAAUAAUAAGAUAGGACUUCGGUUCUAUUUUGUUGGUUUCUAGAAUUGAAGUAAUGAUUGAUAGGGAUAGUUGGGGGUGCUAGUAUUCAGCGGCCAGAGGUGAAAUUCUUGGAUUCGCUGA